rnacentral:rRNA from 1 species
AUUGAACGCUGGCGGCAUGCCUUACACAUGCAAGUCGAACGGUAACAGGUCUUCGGAUGCUGACGAGUGGCGAACGGGUGAGUAAUACAUCGGAACGCGCCUAGUAGUGGGGGAUAACUACUCGAAAGAGUGGCUAAUACCGCAUGAGAUCUACGGAUGAAAGCAGGGGAUCGCAAGACCUUGUGCUACUAGAGCGGCCGAUGGCAGAUUAGGUAGUUGGUGGGAUAAAAGCUUACCAAGCCGACGAUCUGUAGCUGGUCUGAGAGGACGAUCAGCCACACUGGGACUGAGACACGGCCCAGACUCCUACGGGAGGCAGCAGUGGGGAAUUUUGGACAAUGGGCGCAAGCCUGAUCCAGCAAUGCCGCGUGCAGGAUGAAGGCCUUCGGGUUGUAAACUGCUUUUGUACGGAACGAAAAGCCCUGGGUUAAUACCCUGGGGUCAUGACGGUACCGUAAGAAUACGCACCGGCUAACUACGUGCCAGCAGCCGCCGUAACAC